GCUAUACAUGCAGUCGAACGAGUUCUGAUUAUUGAAAGGUGCUUGCAUCUUGAUUUAAUUUUGAACGAGUGGCGGACGGGUGAGUAACACGUGGGUAACCUGCCCUUAAGUGGGGGAUAACAUUUGGAAACAGAUGCUAAUACCGCAUAAAUCCAAGAACCGCAUGGUUCUUGGCUGAAAGAUGGCGUAAGCUAUCGCUUUUGGAUGGACCCGCGGCGUAUUAGCUAGUUGGUGAGGUAACGGCUCACCAAGGCAAUGAUACGUAGCCGAACUGAGAGGUUGAUCGGCCACAUUGGGACUGAGACACGGCCCAAACUCCUACGGGAGGCAGCAGUAGGGAAUCUUCCACAAUGGACGCAAGUCUGAUGGAGCAACGCCGCGUGAGUGAAGAAGGCUUUCGGGUCGUAAAACUCUGUUGUUGGAGAAGAAUGGUCGGCAGAGUAACUGUUGUCGGCGUGACGGUAUCCAACCAGAAAGCCACGGCUAACUACGUGCCAGCAGCCGCGGUAAUACGUAGGUGGCAAGCGUUAUCCGGAUUUAUUGGGCGUAAAGCGAGCGCAGGCGGUUUUUUAAGUCUGAUGUGAAAGCCCUCGGCUUAACCGAGGAAGUGCAUCGGAAACUGGGAAACUUGAGUGCAAAGAGGACAGUGGAACUCCAUGUGUAGCGGUGAAAUGCGUAGAUAUAUGGAAGAACACCAGUGGCGAAGGCGGCUGUCUGGUCUGUAACUGACGCUGAGGCUCGAAAGCAUGGGUAGCGAACAGGAUUAGAUACCCUGGUAGUCCAUGCCGUAAACGAUGAAUGCUAGGUGUUGGAGGGUUUCCGCCCUUCAGUGCCGCAGCUAACGCAUUAAGCAUUCCGCCUGGGGAGUACGACCGCAAGGUUGAAACUCAAAGGAAUUGACGGGGGCCCGCACAAGCGGUGGAGCAUGUGGUUUAAUUCGAAGCAACGCGAAGAACCUUACCAGGUCUUGACAUCUUUUGAUCACCUGAGAGAUCAGGUUUCCCCUUCGGGGGCAAAUGACAGGUGGUGCAUGGUUGUCGUCAGCUCGUGUCGUGAGAUGUUGGGUUAAGUCCCGCAACGAGCGCAACCCUUAUGACUAGUUGCCAGCAUUUAGUUGGGCACUCUAGAAGACUG
rnacentral:rRNA from 1 species